CAACGUGGGCAACCUGCCUCAUAGAGGGGAAUAGCCUUCCGAAAGGAAGAUUAAUACCGCAUAAGAUUGUAGCUUCGCAUGAAGUAGCAAUUAAAGGAGCAAUCCGCUAUGAGAUGGGCCCGCGGCGCAUUAGCUAGUUGGUGAGGUAACGGCUCACCAAGGCGACGAUGCGUAGCCGACCUGAGAGGGUGAUCGGCCACAUUGGGACUGAGACACGGCCCAGACUCCUACGGGAGGCAGCAUGC
rnacentral:rRNA from 1 species